rnacentral:lncRNA from 10 species
CAGUAGAGGCAUUUCCACUAGAAGAGUCUAUGUUCCAUUGAGACUGCCUGGUUUCUAAACCUUGAGUAGAGUUCCCUUCUGAAAACAUCUGCCUUUGGGGUGAGGUUCAUUUAAGAAUGUCCUUGAUGAAGCAGUAACAAUUAUUAAUGUUAUUAAACCUCAUAUACAGUCUUUUCAAUAUUAUGCCUAGAGAAUGGGAAGAUAGAUGAAGUACUUCUGCAACUGUAUUCCUAAGAAAAGUACAUGUGCUGUGUUAUCUGAGUUGCAAGCUGAAUGAGUUGUUUUUCAUGACUGCUAUUUUUACUUGAAAGAACAACUGAGAGCUGGGUGUGCUGGUAUGAGCCUGUAAUGCCAGCUGCUGUGGAGGUGGAGGCAGGAGUUUGAAUUCAGGUCCAGCCUGGGUAACACAAUAAGACCCUAUCUCUACAAAAACAAAAACAAAAACAAAAACACAAGAAACCAGACACACAUACAAACACAAACCCAAACAAAGAAACAAAACCAAGGGGCAACAUUUUUUUUCAGAUAUAGAUGUUUGACAGGAACUUUUUCAGAAAUGAACAGAGUGACCCUGUCACUUUGAGGAGGACAACUGAAAAUAUUUGUCAUCAAUGAUAAAAUUCAAGCUUUUAAGCAAAAAUUAUAAUUUUAGAACAUCUGAUCUGUCCCUGUGAGCUUGAAAGCUUUCCUGUACCUAAAGACUGUUUUGGCAAGAUUCAUUGGUGAUAUUAAAGAAUGUAACUUUUUAAAAACACUCUACUAUAUAAUGAAACAUGUGGAAGAUCUGCAUAGAUUAGUAAACUGAUAUUUUCUAAAUAAACAAUGCACAAUAUGACAGAAUUAUACAUGCAUAAAGCACCCAUCCAACCUACAAAGACCAAUGGAUUUUAAUGUAACAGUAUAAAAAGUUCAUUGAUGUGGUUUCACAUUUUAUACUGCAACUUGAAAAUGUUUCCAUUUGCUUUUAAUAUUCAUUUGCCCAUCACUUUAUUUUUAGCUUUUCUUUUUUUUUGAGAUGGAGUCACCCAGGCUUGAAUGAAGUGGCACGAUCUUUGCUCACUGCAACCUCUCUGCCUUCUGGGUUCAAGUGAUUCUCAUGUCUCAGCCUCCUGAAUAGCUGGGAUUACAGGCAUGUGCCACCAUGUCUGGCUAAUUUUUUUCUAUUUUUGGUAGAAGUGGGGUUUCACCAUGUUGGCCAGGCUGGUCUCGAACUCCUGAGCUCAAGUGAUCCACCCGCCUUGGUCUCCCAAAGUGCUGGGAUUACAGGUGUGAGCCACCGCGCCUGGUCUGUUUUUAGCUUUUCUGAAUAAUUUUUAGGUUUGUUUCUUGUAUGGAACAUAUGUAGUUGGGUUUUGCUCUGCGGGCUCAACCAAAAAUCUUUUUCUUUUGAUAAGUGGAUUAAGACCAUUCACAUUUGUUGAAAUUACCAAAUGUUUGGUUUAGUUUCUGUCAUUUUAUUGUUACUGUGUUUCUUUCUCUAUAAUGUGUUUUCUUUGUUUUCUAUUAAAUUUUUCUUUCUUCAUCUCAUUUUUUGUUCUCUUUCUGCUUUUGUCCGAUAAUGUUUAUCA